GGCCAGCCGAGGAGGGUGUCGCCUGGGAGGUCAGCUGUGCAAAUGGUGAAUUAUUCCCUCUACCGACAAGCGUGGCCGGCGGCGGGGCUGGACCAGAAGCAGUGAGCUCCGGCCCCAGUGGCCUCCAGCCCCGCCCUCCUCGCCCCUCCCCUCCCUGCCCCCCAGGCUCCCGGGGCCGGGAACGCCGAGGCCGAAGCCCAGGUGCGGGGCCGAGAACGUUUGGCCAUGACCGAGAUCGUGGGAGGUGACAGCCCUGCUGAGAGCCGUGCAAACGCUGCGUCUGAACGACCCCCUCGCCCGCAGUGACCCUGGGGCCCGGGAAGAGCCCCAGACCUCGUACACUGCCCACCGAUGAGACCCGGCAGCAGACAGGCCCCGAAGACUCGCAGCGCACCCUGAUGCAGCUGCCCUUUCCAAACAGAAGGGGGAGAUGCAGGCGACUCUCAUACUGAUUAUGCCCAAGGCAGGCUGUGAAGAGUCAACCCCACAAGUGGCUUGUUUAGAGAACCAAGUCCGGCUGAAGCCUACGUCCUGGGGUCAGGGUAACUCACACCCAAACUCCGUUCCCACAACUAAAACCUGACUAGAAGGACAGUGCUCUAAUUGCAACCAUAUAUUUUGUCUCUUCUGUUCCUAAUUCAAGAAUGCUUUGUCUUGUCCUUUCCGAGCCUUGUUUACAUUAAUUUCCAUAGAAACUGCACAUAGCUUGCCUUUACCCCAAUUGAUGGCCAAUAAAAGUCAGCGCCUGGGACUGGCCAGAACCUCUGUCAGCUGCACCCGUAUUGGUGGUCCUGGCUCCCCGCUUUCUCUCUCUCAGUUCUGUCUCUCAGUGCAUUUAUUUCUCGGGCCUGUGCCGUAUACUGGGUAGGGUACUGGAACCUAACUGCAGGGGUCUCCAGUACCUGUGUGAGGAACCUUGGCUUAGAUGACAGGUGCCCGAGGACUCGGGAAUGGACCGGUGUUGGAGCCUGGACCAUCCGAUUCCAGAGCCUGUCACCAGCUGUUUCUGAGGCUGGCUCUUCGGGGAGCAGUCUGCUAUGAGAGCCCAAUGAUGGCGCACUGACUGUCUUUCCAGAGAGGCCCCAGCGUUUUUUGUUUUGUUUUGUUUUGAGAUGGAGUCUCACUGUGUACCCCAGGCUGGCCUGGAAUUCCCUGAGAUCCUCCUGCCACAGCCUCCCAGGUGCUGGGAUGACAGGAGUGUGCCCUGCCUGGGCCAUGGCUGAGCGACCCUGACUGGCCCGGGGACCUGGCCCAGGAAUGCAGAGGGGCUCUUGGUCUGGGUCUGGACCGUGAUGGCAGUGGCCGGACCACCGAGACCCCAGCGAUCUCCCGGAACUGGCUCUGCAGCUCACUGUGAACACACCUGGCACUCAACAGCGCCUCUGAGCUCUCAGGCAGGCUCUCGGGGCCUCAGUUUCCCUGUUGUAAAAUAGAGGGGUUGGACUGGAUGAUCGCUAAUGAGUCAGCCACUGAGC
rnacentral:lncRNA from 1 species